AUAAAAGUAAGCUAAUCUCAAGCUAAUGGGCUCAUACCCCAUUUAUGAGAGCUUAAAUCUCUUCUUUUUUA
rnacentral:tRNA from 1 species